CGGUGCUGAGCUGCGGAGGGCGUCGCCGGGGGCGGGACGGGAGUCCGGUCCUCUAGGAGCGUCGGACGCGGGCAGUUUUGCAGAGCACUGAUACCUAUGGACUUCAUGUAAAGAAAAGCACGGAAUAUUAAUGGACAAAAACAUGAAUCAAUUUGUAUUGUGGCAUUCAAUUCCUAGCACUUUGGAAGAGAUGACAAGAAUACCUGAAUUUUGAAAGAUCUCUCCAGUUUUUUGUUUUGCAAUUGUGGGACGUGAACUCAGGCCUGG